rnacentral:rRNA from 1 species
AAAAACAUGUCCUUUUGAUUAUAUUUUAAGGUCUAAUCUGCUCAAUGAGAAUUUAAAUUGCCGCGGUAUUUUGACCGUGCAAAGGUAGCAUAAUAAUUAGUUUUUUUAUUGAAAGCUGGAAUGAAUGAUUGGACGAGAGAGUAGCUGUCUCUAUUAAAUUUAUUUUUGAAUUUAACUUUUGAGUAAAAAGGCUCAAAUUUAAUUUAAAGACGAGAAGACCCUAUAGAGUUUAAUAUUUUAUUUAAUAAGAGGGUUUUGGUUAUUAAUUUCUUUUAUUAAAUAAUUUAUUUAGUUGGGGUGACUAAAAGAUUAGAUAAACUCUUUUAAAAAUUAUUAAUUAAUCAUUGAUUUAUGAAUAAAUAAUCUAGUUUUUCUAAAUAUAAGAAAAAUUACCUUAGGGAUAACAGCGUAAUUUUUCUUUAGAGUUCUUAUUGUAAGAAAAGUUUGCGACCUCGAUGUUGGAUUAAAAUUAGUUUUUGGUGCAGAAGCUGAAAACCUGGGUCUGUUCGACCUUUAAAUUUUUACAUGAUCUGA